AUUGAACGCUGGCGGCGUGCUUAACACAUGCAAGUCGAACGGUAAGGCCCUUCGGGGUACACGAGUGGCGAACGGGUGAGUAACACGUGGGUGAUCUGCCCUGCACUUCGGGAUAAGCCUGGGAAACUGGGUCUAAUACCGGAUAGGACCACUGCCUGCAUGGGUGGUGGUGGAAAGCUUUUGCGGUGUGGGAUGGGCCCGCGGCCUAUCAGCUUGUUGGUGGGGUGAUGGCCUACCAAGGCGACGACGGGUAGCCGGCCUGAGAGGGUGACCGGCCACACUGGGACUGAGAUACGGCCCAGACUCCUACGGGAGGCAGCAGUGGGGAAUAUUGCACAAUGGGCGCAAGCCUGAUGCAGCGACGCCGCGUGAGGGAUGACGGCCUUCGGGUUGUAAACCUCUUUCAGCACCGACGAAGCGCAAGUGACGGUAGGUGCAGAAGAAGGACCGGCCAACUACGUGCCAGCAGCCGCCGCAG
rnacentral:rRNA from 1 species